AAACACUGGUUCGGGAGUUCGAGAAUCAGUUGUAUACAUGGUGUAUAUAUCAAAUAUACACUUGGUGUAUAUCAUGACAAAUGAUAAUGAAAAAAGGGGCCAAAAGCCUAAGGAAAUUACAGCAGGUCCAAGUUGCAGGAAAAUGGGCCAAAGCCCAAUGAGACAACCAUCAGCUAUUUUGGAUUAAAAUGGGCCAAAACCCAUAAUUUUGGUUUUCUUUAGAGUUUAAGACAGGUGGGCCAAAAGGCCAUUUUAAUUGGAUUUGGGUCAAAAUCCAAGUCUAAUUGUUU
rnacentral:lncRNA from 1 species